GUGUCAGCAGCCGCGGUAAUACGUAGGGGGCAAGCGUUGUCCGGAAUUAUUGGGCGUAAAGCGCGCGCAGGCGGCGGUUUAAGUUUGGUGUUUAAGCCCGGGGCUCAACCUCGGUUCGCACUGAAAACUGGAUCGCUUGAGUGCAGGAGAGGGAAGUGGAAUUCCACGUGUAGCGGUGAAAUGCGUAGAGAUGUGGAGGAACACCAGUGGCGAAGGCGACUUCCUGGCCUGUAACUGACGCUGAGGCGCGAAAGCGUGGGGAGCAAACAGGAUUAGAAACCCGCGUAGUCC
rnacentral:rRNA from 1 species